rnacentral:rRNA from 1 species
CGGGGUGCACCAGGCGCGAAAACUCUACAAUGCAGGCAACUGCGAUAGGGGAACAUCGAGUGAUCCUCAUAUUGGGGGUCUGUCCCACCGUCUAAAAACGGUGGUUAGCAAGGGCCGGGCAAGACCGGUGCCAGCCGCCGCGGUAAUACCGGCGGCUCGAGUGGUGGCCGAUAUUAUUGAGUCUAAAGGGUCCGUAGCCGGCUUUGCAAGUCUCUCGGGAAAUCCAGCGGCUUGACCGUUGGUCGUCCGGGGGGUACUACAUUGCUUGGGACUGGGAGAGGUAGGAGGUACUCAGGGGGUAGGAGUGAAAUCCUGUAAUCCUCUGGGGACCACCGGUGGCGAAGGCGUCCUACCAGAACAGGUCCGACGGUGAGGGACGAAAGCUAGGGGCACGAACCGGAUUAGAUACCCGGGUAGUCCUAGCCGUAAACGAUGCUCGCUAGGUGUCACAACAGUCGUGAACUGUUGUGGUGCCGUAGGGAAGCCGUGAAGCGAGCCACUUGGGAAGUACGACCGCAAGGUUGAAACUUAAAGGAAUUGGCGGGGGAGCACAAGGGCGAAUCGC